rnacentral:rRNA from 1 species
GUAGGGACCAAGCGUUGUUCGGAUUUACUGGGCGUAAAGGGCGCGUAGGCGGCGUGUUAAGUCAGCUGUGAAAUCUCCGAGCUUAACUCGGAACGGUCAGCUGAUACUGAUGUGCUAGAGUGCAGAAGGGGCAAUCGGAAUUCUUGGUGUAGCGGUGAAAUGCGUAGAUAUCAAGAGGAACACCUGAGGUGAAGACGGGUUGCUGGGCUGACACUGACGCUGAGGCGSGAAAGCCAGGGGAGCAAACGGGAUUAGAUACCCCGGUAGUCCUGGCCCUAAACGAUGAAUACUKGGUGUCKGGAGUUAUUAUUGCUCCGGGUGCCGUCGCUAACGUUUUUAGUAUUCCGCCUGGGGAGUACGCACGCAAGUGUG